rnacentral:rRNA from 1 species
AACGAACGCUGGCGGCAUGCCUAACACAUGCAAGUCGAACGAGACCUUCGGGUCUAGUGGCGCACGGGUGCGUAACGCGUGGGAACCUGCCCUUAGGUUCGGAAUAACUCCCCGAAAGGGGUGCUAAUACCGGAUAAUGUCUUCGGACCAAAGAUUUAUCGCCUUUGGAUGGGCCCGCGUUGGAUUAGCUAGUUGGUAGGGUAAAAGCCUACCAAGGCGACGAUCCAUAGCUGGUCUGAGAGGAUGAUCAGCCACACUGGGACUGAGACACGGCCCAGACUCGUACGGGAGGGAGCAGUGGGGAAUAUUGGGCAAGGGGCGAAAGCCUAAUCCAGCAAUGCCGCGUGAGUGAUGAAGGGCUUAGGGUUGUAAAGCUCUUUUACCCGGGAUGAUAAUGACAGUACCGGGAGAAUAAGCACCGGCUAACUCCGUG